rnacentral:lncRNA from 1 species
AAAAACAUCAAAAAAAAGUGAGAGAGAGUUUGGAAAAGGUAAAAAGUAAUUUAUGGAGGCAGACUAACAUCUUGAGCUUAGAAAUGAGGGUUCGAGAAGGUAACAAUUGUUUCUCCUUUUGAAUUUUUGAUAUUAAGCCAUUAGACAUCCCAAGAUUUCUGUAUAUAUAAAGAUCUUUGAAAUUUGACAAUGUAAAUUAUGGUGUUUUUCAAAGUUGGUCCUUUGACGUUGAUUCUAGUCUUCCAGUUACAAAUAUCAGUUUCGUAAUUGGUAGACGACAUGGAAUUUGAACUCCGUUUGACCUAAAGUUUUGGUAUGAUCAAAAGAAUGAUGGCUACUAUGGCUCUGUAAAAUCUCGUGGUCACGGGACGUAUGAGUAUUUUAUAACAAGUUUAUGAAGUGGCCUGGGUUAGGAUAGGAUGACUUGAUAGACUAUCUUUAGGAACAGAUUGAGCGUCUUUUAUGGACUGAUAUUUGAUACUAAAACAACUCAAUAUUUUUAACCUAAGUAGAUUAAGAUCUUUGAUUCAUGCAUAUGAAUUUUCACGAUUUUUUUUUUUUUGUAAAAUUCAUGUGGUGGCUGAACACCACCAUUCGACAGCUGAAAUUCUAAUUUAGGGUUUCAUUUUUGGUAUUCUUUUCGGGGACUAAACAGUGGAGUUUUGUUUUCAAAUUUUUACCUUAAGACUCCCUGUAUGUCUAUUUUAAGCAUACCAAUUCUGGAACCGUUUCAUGUUUGGUAGAAUUUGCGAACAUUAUUUGAGUACACACUGCCAGUGCUGGCAGACUACUUUGCCUUUGUAUAGAGCCUUAUUGGUUGAGUUUGUUUAUAGGUUAGCACAUGUUUAAGGCUCCCAUCUCAAGUGGUUUUGAGGGGGGUGCUCACUGCCAGGUAAGUAUCAUAGACUUGCUCUGAAACUAUGAUAAAUAUAUAUAUGAAUGUGUACCUAUACAUAUGUAAAUAUGUAACUGUAUAUGUUAUUAUAUCCUUUGAUUGCGAGGUCCGUGUAUUUGCAAGUAACGUGGUUGCUACCUAAGUUUGUUUGAUUUGUGUAUGUAAGUGUGUAUAAACCAUGACAAGUAGGUAUGAUUAAGUCAUGUACAAGUAUCAAUACACCAUUUGAACAUGGCUUAGUUUAAGUAAGGACUACUAGAGAAUCUUAGGUCACUAUGAGGUCCCAUGCAUGGGGGUGCACAAGUUUAAGGUUCACAAUGUGGGUGUCACCAACGGGUGAUGUUUAGCAAGUUAUAAGGCUCACAAUGUGGGUGGUACUGAUAGGGUGACACAUUGUUUGUGAUAAUAUUACAAUAAUAUAUGUUUAUUUCCCUUAACAUUUAAUUUUAGAAGCAAUUAUAAUGGGUAAUUAAAUAAUCUUAUGCAUUUAUAUUUUUACUUGGUCAAAUUGGUUUAAUGUUAUUUUAUUAACUUGAUCAAUGACUUCCUAUGUAGGCUUGUGUGCUAUGAAAACCAACUCAAUUUGCAUGCCAAGAAGUGUGCCACCCAAAGAUAAUAUGCUAGUGGCCAAUUAAAGAACUUCAACAUAUCCAUCAAGCAAUGAUGAUGAAGGAAGAAGUGCAACUAGCACAAGAAGAAAAGAAUUGAAAAGAAUGCAUGAAGUGCCAUACCCAUGCCAAAAGAAGAAAGGAAAAGAAGUAUGGGAUGGAAGCAAACAAGAAGAAAUUGAAUUCACAUGCUUGUGAGGUGUCAUCUAGUCCAACGAAGCUCAAAUUCAAUGCCAAUUCAUAGGCAAGAUGAAGUGGGAGUUAGGUAUUACAUUAAAAUAGGAAUGGUGGUAUUGGAAUCCAUCACGAUGUUUCUCCUUCUUAGCCCUAUAAAUAGAGAAGUCUUCAGGGUUCAAAACACACACCAAGCUCACAAUCUUCUCUUGAGCUCUCUCUCCUUCCUCCAAUUCUUCUAGUUUUAAUUUCUUUAAUUUAUUUUAAGGGAAACUAACUCCCUAGCUAAGGCUAGAGAGAAAGCUUUUAAUAUGAGUAUGUAAUUUUUAUUAGUUUGAUCCAA